AAGUAGAAAAAUUUUGGGUUGAAAACGUGUAAUCGAACUGUAGUCUAUUAUAUUAUACUGAUACAUUGUAUUAUAGUGCAGUGUUGACAAUUAAGUGCUUUCCAGUAUGUGACUUUUUAUUGCAUGGCAAUUCUUCGUUCACUUGUUAUCCUGUCUUAUUUCAUAUUUUAGGGGCCAAGAACAUACAAGAUCAAACAUGUCGAGUGUUGGCCCGGUAACAGAACAGCCGAAAGGAACAACGGAGAUGAGUGAGGCACCAAAACAGAUACCCGCAAGUUUAGAAUAUUUGAGCAGUUUGGAUACAAUCAUUGUCAGGCAAAAAAUGGAAAAAAUGGAAGCACUGUCAGGAAUUGAAAUGAAAAACAAGUAUCAAAGAU
rnacentral:lncRNA from 1 species